rnacentral:rRNA from 1 species
AUUGAACGCUGGCGGCAGGCCUAACACAUGCAAGUCGAGCGGAUGAAGGGAGCUUGCUCCUUGAUUCAGCGGCGGACGGGUGAGUAAUUCCUAGGAAUCUGCCUGGUAGUUGGGGAUAACGUCCGGAAACGGGCGCUAAUACCGCAUACGUCAUGAGGUAGAAAGUGGGGGAUCUUCGUACCUCACGCUAUCAGAUGAGCCUAGGUCGGAUUAGCUAGUUGGUUGGGUAAAGGCCUACCAAGGCGACGAUCCGUAACUGGUCUGAGAGGAUGAUCAGUCACAAUGGAACGGGGACCCGGUCCAGCUCCCUCCGGGAGGAACAAUUGGGGAAUUUUGGCAAAGGAGGGAAAGCUUGCUCCAGCCCUGCCGCGUGGGUGAAAAAGGUCUUCGGACUUAAAAGCCCUUUAAGUUGGGAGGACGGUCAGUAAGUUAAUACCUUGCUGUUUUGACGUUACCAACAGAAUAAGCACCGGCUAACUUCGUG